rnacentral:rRNA from 1 species
GACGAACGCUGGCGGCGUGCUUAACACAUGCAAGUCGAACGGAAAGGCCCCUUUGGGGGUACUUGAGUGGCGAACGGGUGAGUAACACGUGAGUAACCUGCCCUCGACUUCGGGAUAACUUCAGGAAACUGGGGCUAAUACAUGAUAGGAAGCCUUGCUGCAUGGUGGGGGUUGGAAAGCUUCGGCGGUUUUGGAUGGACUCACGGCUUAUCAGCUUGUUGGUGGGGUAGUGGGUUACUAAGGCUUUGACGGGUAGCCGGCCUGGGAGGGGGACCGGCCACAUUGGGACUGAGAUACGGCCCAGACUCCUACGGGGGGCAGCAGUGGGGAAUAUUGCACAAUGGGCGGAAGCCUGAUGCAACAACGCCGCGUGCGGGAUGACGGCCUUCGGGUUGUAAACCGCUUUCAGCAGGGGCGAAGCUUGUGGUGACGGUACCUGCAGAAGAAGCACCGGCUAACUACGUG